GAGGCCUUGCGCAGCUACCAUGCAGUCGAACGGAGGACCCCUGAAGGAGUUUUCGGACAACUGAAGGGAAUCCUUAGUGGCGGACGGGUGAGUAACGCGUGAGUAACCUGCCUUGGAGUGGGGAAUAACAGCUGGAAACAGCUGCUAAUACCGCAUAAUAUAUCUGGGUCGCAUGGCUCUGGAUAUCAAAGAUUUAUCGCUCUGAGAUGGACUCGCGUCUGAUUAGCUGGUUGGCGGGGUAACGGCCCACCAAGGCGACGAUCAGUAGCCGGACUGAGAGGUUGGCCGGCCACAUUGGGACUGAGACACGGCCCAGACUCCUACGGGAGGCAGCAGUGGGGAAUAUUGGGCAAUGGGCGCAAGCCUGACCCAGCAACGCCGCGUGAAGGAAGAAGGCUUUCGGGUUGUAAACUUCUUUUCUCAGGGACGAAGAAAGUGACGGUACCUGAGGAAUAAGCCACGGCUAACUACGUGCCAGCAGCCGCGGUAAUACGUAGGUGGCAAGCGUUAUCCGGAUUUACUGGGUGUAAAGGGCGUGUAGGCGGGACUGCAAGUCAGAUGUGAAAACCACGGGCUCAACCUGUGGCCUGCAUUUGAAACUGUAGUUCUUGAGUACUGGAGAGGCAGACGGAAUUCCUAGUGUAGCGGUGAAAUGCGUAGAUAUUAGGAGGAACACCAGUGGCGAAGGCGGUCUGCUGGACAGCAACUGACGCUGAGGCGCGAAAGCGUGGGGAGCAAACAGGAUUAGAUACCCUGGUAGUCCACGCUGUAAACGAUGGAUACUAGGUGUGGGGGGACUGACCCCCUCCGUGCCGCAGUUAACACAAUAAGUAUCCCACCUGGGGAGUACGAUCGCAAGGUUGAAACUCAAAGGAAUUGACGGGGCCCGCACAAGCGGUGGAGUAUGUGGUUUAAUUCGAAGCACGCGAAGAACCUUACCAGGCUUGACAUCCCGCUGACCGGCAUAGAGAUAUGCUUUUCUCUUCGAGACAGCGGUGAC
rnacentral:rRNA from 1 species